rnacentral:lncRNA from 10 species
AGAGGCUCACAUAGGAAGUCUGUAGACAGGUUACUAGGAGCUGACACCAGCAACCACCAGUUGACACAGGCAAGAAAACAAUGACCUACAACUGUACAAGAACUUCCCAAUAAGAUCCCUGUUGAUUGUCACCUUCCUUUGGACCUUGCUGGACGUUGAACCAGGGGAGCUGGUUGAGCCCACUCAGACUUCGGACCUACAGAAGUGUGAUGCUUCCAUGUGGCUUGGCAAUGGUGCUGUGCUGUUACUGAUCCUAUGGGACUGCUGAGCAUCUGCUAGAGAUGAUAACAAAAAGAGUCAAAGGAUGAUAAAACAGAGGUGCUUUGUGAGUUUAAGUGACAGCCAGCAAACAAUAUUGCUUCGUUAUGGUACCCAAGAGUUCUGGCUUCAGUGUGAAACGAAAUAUUCAAUGUUUUCCACCGCCACUCAGGAUGAUUCUAAUUCAAUUAUGACUGAAUCAGAUGGAUGUAUUGACAUUUCAGAAGUGCAGAUUAUUCAGUGAAACCAUGUACAUGUACAUGUUUGUUUUCUCCUCAAAUCUUGCUCUCCUUCCUCAUUCUUUCAACCAACACCUAACACCUCCCUGAAAACACACAAUACACACAAACACAACUAAUGCCUUGAGAGCUGAGGCCAUAGCUGACACAUAUUUCAACACCAGAGUCUAACACAGAAUCUAGCACUAAAAGUCACUCCCAGAAUGUUUACUAUAAAUAAAUUAGUGAUGAGAGACUGCAGCUUAAAUCCAUGACCAUCAACUCUGCUGCCACCCUUCCAAGCAAGAGUUAGGGCCCUCACUGAAGCUAUGUAGUUGUCAUUUAUGCAGAAGCUUUGUAAAGAAAACCAGAGCUUGGAUAGUGGGUAGCAGCAAUCUCUUCUCAACUUCCCCUAUGAAGAGAAAAACUCAUUGCAGUCUAUAGCUACCAAACGCAGAGGUCACAGGAUUUCUGUGACAAGAACUCCCACUGCUAUGGUCUUCCACAAAUAAUGCUAACAGAAACAGAGAGGAAAAACAAUUAUCAAACAGAAUCAAAUAAAUGUCUGACUGCAUGCUCUCUUUCAAGAUUUUGCAUCUGAGGAUAUCAGAAAGGAAAGCAAUUCAGAGGUAAUCACAUGCCUAAUGUGCAAAUCAAUAACAUGCUGGUCUAAUGCUCGAUUUCAUGAGAUUGCUGUUAUAUAAAUGUAGGGAAAAGCAAAUAAUCAGGAGCCAAAAUUGUCUUUAUCAGGGAAAGUUCAUAAUUAGUUUGCAUUUUCACAAAAUUCCAAAUAGUACUGAUUAAGCCAAUAUGUAUUCCAAGCAGCAACAGCUACAAUAGUCAGCCUGUGUGGGGAGAAGCAUAAAUCUAAUGAACUCAAAUUUAAUAUCCCUAAUUGUACCAAUGUAAGUAACAGUCAAUGACUGAGCAUGAAGCCCUUUCCCUAGACAAUCUCUAAAAUAGCUUUUAACUGAAUUUUGUGAACAGUAUGUAGAGAAAAUCUAAGGAAAAAAACACAGUGAAGGCAAGAAUUCCCAAAAUGCAAAUCAGAAAACAUUAAAAUAAUAUUAUGAAAGUUUGGUUUUCACAAUUAGGGUAUUGUUCAAGUUCAAUUCACAUUCUCAUUGUUGUAUUUUUCUUUUAAUUUUUCAACUUCUAGACAUAUUUAUGCAAUUAUUUGUAAAUCUGUCUAAAUUCUAGAAAAAAAUUUGCCCAUUUGAAUGUCAUAGAAACAGAAAUAUAAAAACAAUUUUAAGAUAUAAAUAUUCUUGAGGAUUUAUAACCAAAUAUUUUUAUUCCUUAGUCAACUAAAAAUAUUCCCUUAUAUCUGUGCCCCAAUUAAAAUAAAA